AGUCAAGUUGCUUGUCUGUUUGUUUUUGCAUUGGUGAGCAUUUGCCCGAAGUCUCAUCUGUUCAGUAAUUUAUCGUAUAGUAAUUACAUUUCCAAAUACAAGAAUUAGAAGGCUUGAUUCCAAGUUGUACAUCAACAGUUUUCUUUCACUCACUGGGUCAUUGUGUGGUCAUGUGUGCUUUCGGAGAGAGUGCUGUCAUUCUUUACCAUCAAAUGUAAACAAACUUGGAGCAAAUCCGGAUAUAUACAUACAUCUGUCAAUGUAACGGACGUGGGUGCAACUUUCUCUGCUAGAUAAGAGAUUUCCUCAGCUGAAGACAUUUGUGAUCAAGUACUUCUGGAUUCCUUUAUUUCAGAAACAUAAUCUGGGAGUGCUCACUCAGCUGCACUGCACGCAUCCUCCGACUGCUGCACAAGCAGAAACUACAACUCAGAUGUUAGCAGCAGAACAAACUUCAAUCACAGGAACCUCCAACUCCAAGUGCACCCCCUCCCUAACGUUCAAAAUGAUUUUCACCUGCAGUGAAUGUGGAGUUUGUCAGGAUCAAAAGAAAUAUGAAAUCAAGACAUCUUUUUUUAAAUGACAUUUUAUUACAUUUUUUUAAAUAGACUUUUUCUUCCACUUUGUAAAUGUGGAGUACAUCGGUCGGAAAAAAAUCUAAUUUAAUACAUUUUCUAUUUCAUUUUAAGGCUGUAUGUAAAAUGUCCAGAUUGUGCAAGGGGUGUGUAGACUUUUACUAGUGACUGUAUACAGGUAUUUGUUAUACCAAGGCCCGAUGGCCCUGUAGCAAAUGGCCCUUCUUCAAAAGAAAAAAAUACAUUUUUUA
rnacentral:lncRNA from 1 species